AUUGGACGCUGGCGGCAUGCUUUACACAUGCAAGUCGAACGGUAACAGCACUUCGGUGGCUGACGAGUGGCGCACGGGUGAGUAAUACAUCGGAACGUGCCUAGUAGUGGGGGAUAACUACUCGAAAGAGUAGCUAAUACCGCAUGAGAUCUAAGGAUGAAAGCAGGGGACCUUCGGGCCUUGCGCUACUAGAGCGGCUGAUUGCAGAUUAGGUAGUUGGUGGGAUAAAAGCUUACCAAGCCGACGAUCUGUAGCUGGUCUGAGAGGACGACCAGCCACACUGGGACUGAGACACGGCCCAGACUCCUACGGGAGGCAGCAGUUGGGAAUUUUGGACAAUGGGCGCAAGCCUGAUCCAGAAAUGCCGCGUGCAGGAUGAAGGCCUUCGGGUUGUAAACUGCUUUUGUACGGAACGAAAAGCCCUCUUCUAAUACAGGAGGGUCAUGACGGUACCGUAAGAAUAAGCACCGGCUAACUACGUG
rnacentral:rRNA from 1 species